GACGAACGCUGGCGGCGUGCUUAACACAUGCAAGUCGAACGAAGUGGCGAACGGGUGAGUAACGCGUAAUCAACCUGCCCUUCAGAGGGGUACAACAGUUGGAAACGACUGCUAAUACCGCAUACUGAAGGAGGUGAUUGCGUGUGAUUAGCUAGUGGGGGGGGUAACGGCCCACCAAGGCGAGCAUCAGUAGACGGUCUGAGAGGAUGAACGGCAACAUUGGGACUGAGAAACGGCCCAGACUCCUACGGGAGGCAGCAGUGGGGAAUCUUCCGCAAUGGACGAAAGUCUGACGGAGCAACGCCGCGGGAGGGAUGACGGCCUUCGGGUUGUAAAGCUCUGUUAAUCGGGACGCGGUACCGGAAUAGAAAGCCACGGCUAACUACGUGCCAGCAGCCGCGGUAAUUC
rnacentral:rRNA from 1 species